AAGAGAAGGAGCUGGUGAGCAAAACGAAAGCCCUAGCAGACCAGGAAUAAAAGGGUGGUGCACAGUCUGGUCCUGGAUAGCCAGCUGGAUUUUAGAAGGAAGGAGUAGAUGACAUUAAUGGCGAGAAAAACGGGUGGGAUUCCACGGCAAAAGAGUUCAACAGAGCCAACCCUUCGCGCGGGCAAGAUUAUGAAAGGUGAAAUUUCAGUUGCACCAUCACGAAAGAUCCCCAAGAAGAAAACGAGAGGGAGGCAUCUGAGGAAGGCCACACGGGCACCAAGUGGCCACCUACCAGAGCCUGGACACUGCACAGACAGUUUUUCCAGGAGCCUUAUAAUGAAAUGAAAGAAAUCAGAGUCUUAUAUCCAGAAGGGAAUCUUGUUUGAGUGACUCACGUUAUGACCAAGGAAAAUAAAGCCAAUGACAGAGGUUUACAACUCCUUUAUCCCACUUUCAAGUACCAACGAUUCUUCAGUGAAACCCACCGUGAACACCUCCUCUCGAAGCCAAAGACGACGCUCCCAUCCAGCCCUUCUGGGAUUUAAUGGAUUAUCUCCAACUAUUUUAUGGGAGACACAGGACCUCAGGGUCCUUCCAUCCGAAGCUCCUAAAGAUUUGAGCCACAUCUGUCUCUACUUAUUCCGAUAUUGUUUUGAAUUCGUCUUCUCUUGGAAGACACAUGACACUUGCACAGGGACAUCUGGGGACUCGUCACAAUCCCUGGGACAGUCCUGGGCACAGGGGAGCUCUGGCAGCCCUUCUUGUCUGCUUGUAACUGGAGCAAGGGAGGAAAUGAAAAUAAAUGCAUGGUCUCCCUCUGGUUGUAAUUAUUAAUGGUCAAUUUGCUAAAAUGGUAUCUGUUUAGAUGACUAAUAAUCACGGCUCUAUUAUUUGUAGAAUGCUGUGUUUUGUUUUGUUUUUAAUUAUGUCUUAGGUGAGUCUCUCAUUUGUGCUUUAACUCUAUAAAAAUGCCUCAAUUUCUCACUCAUUCUAUCCCAGGCACGAUGAAGGUUUGAAAAAGGUUGCUCCUAUAAUUUUUUUUUUAAUACAAGCUGCUGUUAUCAUGUCCGUGAGUCAUGUCCUGCAGAGGAAGUAUGUGUGGCACUCAGGGCAAGAUAUGAAGGGGAGCCCACUAGCAGGGGGGGCAACCCCUAAUUUGGGGGGCAUAAAAGAUUUUGUGCCUAGUGGCAUAACCCCCAGCAUGGGGAGCCCUUGGGAGACCUGGUUUUGGAAUAACCCAAAAUUGGGUUUCAAAGUGGGAAUUCUGUUUUUUCCAGUCAGACAACAUAGUUGAUACUGAAUGUUAUUUAUAGGUUUGACUUGAGCUGGUUUAAACCAUUUUUCUUGUUUCCAAUAAAUCAUUUCAUGGAAA